AGAAUCUUUGAUGUGAAGGUCUGCUGAUUUGAACUUGUCUCCGUUGAACCUGUUACUCCAGUAUAUCAUGUGAUAGUAAGCCCAAAACUAAAUAUUAUUGAAGAAUACACUCGUAAAUUCAUAUGUGGUUCUGUGUCAAGAUUUCCCUGUAACUUUGUUUCGAAUAUUUGUUCCCAUGGGAAAAAAAAAAGUUAAUAAUUUUGUUUAUUAUCCAUCCAAUGCUUGCGCAAGAGAAAAUAUGUGUGAGAGAGAAUGGGUGGAGUAAGGCGUGGUGAGUACGUUCUUUUAGUGCCAUUUGGUUUACUGUUUACCAAAGGCAAUUCCCGAAUGCUCUCAUAUUCUUGUUUGUCUAUGUUGUCAACAAUUUAGUUGUUAUCUGUGUUUGCUUUUUAUCCACCUUCUUUACCUGAUUGGUUUCAAGAUCUCAACUGCUCCUCAAAGUAUUGUUCUUCCAGUUGUUACUUCGUGUCAUUUAGUUUUGACUCCUUGUUAGGUUCUUAGAAAGCCCAUGUUUGGGAGGUCAAAAGGCUGACAACAUUGUUGAACUUGUGUCUCUGUCGUAUGAUUUUUCUAAUGCUGUAUUUUAUAUUUCUGAAAUAUAAGUGAAAUUAAUAUGUUCCUACUUUGUUGACACUGAUGCACGCUCUCUAGGGACUGCAUGUCGAGCCAACAACUUGUGGACUACGUUCGGGAACAAUUAAAACGUGAAAGUAAACUCUCAGUGAUUUGUGAGAGAGUGUUUGAAAGGUGCUUGGCACCAUCACCUGGUGGAGAGGGGUGUGACAACAUGACAAUGAUCUUGGUUCAGCUUAAGAAACCUGUUACUUCAGCUGCUUCUGUCGGGGACAAGCCUCUCUCGUCUAAUCCAUCAUCUGAGAAGGAUAAAAGCUCGGCAAAAGCUAAAUAGAUCUUCCCAUGACUAUCGAAUGACUGCAUUUUCUGCAAGUUAGGGCUUUUGGUGAUCUCAGAAAAUCAUAAAUUCGUUCAGAUUAGGAAAGAAUUCUCAUGACAGUAUGUGUUCACGGUGUUUUGUCAAGUACCGGUAUAGCUUACGAGUUCUGUACAUGUGUCAGGGAGUUUGUCUUUUGGUUUCCCUCCAGAUUUUGAAGAGCUUUGCCAGCAAAUUUUUAAGACUGAACACUUGCUUCAGAUGGUAACCUGACCAAGGAAAAAAAUAUCAAGAUUUUUGUUCCUUUUCUUUUCAUAUUGUUUGUGUGAAGUGUGAACAAUAAUUCUAUGAAUGAACACCAUGCAGUGGCUGUAUUUGAAUA